UACGUAGGGGGCAAGCGUUGUCCGGAAUCAUUGGGCGUAAAGCGCGUGUAGGCGGCUCGAAAAGUCUGGUGUGAAAACUUUCGGCUCAACCGGAAGCUGUCACUGGAUACUGUCGAGCUCGAGUCCGGAAGAGGAGUGUGGAAUUCCUGGUGUAGCGGUGGAAUGCGCAGAUAUCAGGAGGAACACCAAUGGCGAAGGCAGCACUCUGGUACGUGACUGACGCUGAGACGCGAAAAGCGUGGGGAGCAAACAGG
rnacentral:rRNA from 1 species